UACGGGGGGAGCAAGCGUUGUUCGGAUUUACUGGGCGUAAAGGGCGCGUAGGCGGUCAGCACAAGUCAGUUGUGAAAUCUCCGAGCUUAACUCGGAAAGGUCAACUGAUACUGUGCGACUAGAGUGCAGAAGGGGCAACUGGAAUUCUUGGUGUAGCGGUGAAAUGCGUAGAUAUCAAGAGGAACACCUGAGGUGAAGACGGGUUGCUGGGCUGACACUGACGCUGAGGCGCGAAAGCUAGGGUAGCAAACGGG
rnacentral:rRNA from 1 species